rnacentral:rRNA from 1 species
UAGUCGAAAGAUUAGCUAAUACCGCAUACGACCUGAGGGUGAAAGUGGGGGACCGCAAGGCCUCACGCAGCAGGAGCGGCCGAUGUCUGAUUAGCUAGUUGGUGGGGUAAAGGCCCACCAAGGCGACGAUCAGUAGCUGGUCUGAGAGGACGAUCAGCCACACUGGGACUGAGACACGGCCCAGACUCCUACGGGAGGCAGCAGUGGGGAAUUUUGGACAAUGGGGGCAACCCUGAUCCAGCAAUGCCGCGUGUGUGAAGAAGGCCUUCGGGUUGUAAAGCACUUUUGUCAGGAAAGAAAUCGCGCUGGUUAAUACCUGGCGUGGAUGACGGUACCGG